rnacentral:rRNA from 1 species
UACGGAGGGAGCUAGCGUUGUUCGGAAAUACUGGGCGUAAAGCGCACGUAGGCGGCGCAGCAAGUCAGGGGUGAAAGCCCGGGGCUCAACCCCGGGAGGCGGAUGGAUACUGCAAGGCUCGAGUACGGAAGAGGCGAGUGGAAUUCCCGGUGUAGCGGUGAAAUGCGCAGAUAUCGGGAGGAACACCAAUGGCGAAGGCAGCUCGCUGGGACGUUACUGACGCUGAGACGCGAAAGCGUGGGGAGCAAACAGG